ensembl:snoRNA
GUGUUGUACCUGGGUCAGGGUGCAACGCCAGAGUAUGCGCUUGCGCAUAACUGGGGCCGCCAGCUGCUCCGCGGUGGGCCUUUUUUACCGCGAGCACGG